rnacentral:rRNA from 1 species
AUUGAACGCUGGCGGCAGGCCUAACACAUGCAAGUCGAACGGUAACAGGAAGAAGCUUGCUUCUUUGCUGACGAGUGGCGGACGGGUGAGUAAUGUCUGGGAAACUGCCUGAUGGAGGGGGAUAACUACUGGAAACGGUAGCUAAUACCGCAUAACGUCGCAAGACCAAAGAGGGGGACCUUCGGGCCUCUUGCCAUCGGAUGUGCCCAGAUGGGAUUAGCUAGUAGGUGGGGUAACGGCUCACCUAGGCGACGAUCCCUAGCUGGUCUGAGAGGAUGACCAGCCACACUGGAACUGAGACACGGUCCAGACUCCUACGGGAGGCAGCAGUGGGGAAUAAUGCGCAAUGGGCGCAAGCCUGAUGCAGCCAUGCCGCGUGUAUGAAGAAGGCCUUCGGGUUGUAAAGUACUUUCAGCGGGGAGGAAGGGAGUAAAGUUAAUACCUUUGCUCAUUGACGUUACCCGCAGAAGAAGCACCGGCUAACUCCGUG